GUUGGGUGUUACUUCUAAGUGACU
rnacentral:siRNA from 1 species